GACGAACGCUGGCGGCGUGCUUAACACAUGCAAGUCGAACGGAAAGGCCCUGCUUUUGUGGUGUGCCCGAGUGGCGAACGGGUGAGUAACACGUGAGUAAUCUGCCCUUGAUUUUGGGAUAACUUCAGGAAACUGGGGCUAAUACAGGAUAGGUGCUCCUGCUGCAUGGUGGGGGUUGGAAAGUUUCGGCGGUUGGGGAUGGACUGGUGGCGUAUCAGCUUGUUGGGGGGGUAGUGGCUUACCAAGGCUUUGACGGGUAGCCGGCCUGAGAGGGUGACCGGCCACAUUGGGAUGGGGAUGCGACCCGGACUCCAACGGGAGGCAGCGGUGGGGAAUAGUGCACAAUAGGCGGAGGCCUGAUGCAGCGACGCCGCGUGCGGGAUGACGGCCAUCGGGUUGGAAACCGCUUUCGCCUGAGACGAAGAGUGAGUGACGGUACCGGAUAAAGAAGCACCGGCUAACUACGUG
rnacentral:rRNA from 1 species